AUGAGUGCCUGUCCACCCCGAACGUUUCCCCGCUGCGCCAGACUCGACGGCCGUUUUAUCGGUCCCGUGCGGGUCGCCAGGUGCAACGCGAGCACUAUAGGCGAGCCGCUUGCCCCGUACGCCGGGGCGGCGGCUUUUUCA
rnacentral:ncRNA from 1 species